AAUGGUCUGGGGGUUAGUUUUUAGCUUCCGCUAAGUACCUGGCAGGCUGCCAUGCUGAAGGAUUCUGGGAACUGAAAGGCUCCCAAGUACAAACUGCCAGCAUUAAGCAGUCCUGACAGCUCUGCUCCUUCCACACUUGGCAGCAGUUCAAAGUGCUCUUUCAUUUGAAAGGCUGGAAGGCUGCCAUGUGCAAUGCAGAUUUGCUGUGCCUGCUCUCAUAAGGAACUGAUAAAUGCCGUUGCUGUUGCCAUGGGGACAGGAGGCUAUCAGAAUGGCCUUGUGAUCUGCAGCCUCUCAGCUCUGCAGGAAGCCAUCUGCCCAACAAGAAAACAAGAAAAUUAUCAACAGAGUGGAUUUUUACUUGGUGCUACAAUGCUUUUCAUAUUAAUGUCAUGAGCCCUCCCUUAAAAGCAUCCAUAAUAAACUCAACAGUAUCCCUUCCUACCCUGAACCAACAGAGAUCCAAUGGGAAGACUGAAAACAUCAGGCAGCCAGGAGUUUCCUGUGCAAUUUCUGUGCAAAGAAGCUUGGACCAAGCAAAGUCAAAGCUGAUUGUUGAGCUGAGUGAGAAUGCAGUGAGGGAGAGGUGCAGUCACCAAUUGAUCUGUCAUAUUGUGGUUUUCAAAGAUGAACUGAGAAUGCUCUGAAAGGAGUUUGCAGUUAAGACCUGCAGGAAGACCUAGUGUAGGGAAUUACAUUUUCAUUGUGGCUAACUUUCAAUGACACUGAAGAUGUCUCACUUGGAAGAUCAUCAAACCCAUGUUUUCUCUUCUACUUCAACAGACAAAGCUUCAAUCAUUUGAUGUAGAAACUCUGAAGAAACUAAUUUUCAUUUUGAAAUAAGUGUGAAAUCUUUUUAUCUUGAGAUUUAACAACUCUUGACAAUGCUUACAUUUCACUUCAGAAAAAUGAGCUGUUUUCAUAACUUCAGUCUUUCCAAUCACUUUUUCUCACUAAGUCUUUUAAUAUUGCCUUUCUCAAUGCACGUUAAUAUACAUGAAAUUUUAGUUAUAACUACUUCUAGGUUACCUAUUUGUUGUAUUAAUAAAAAAAACUAUCCCCUUUACUAAAAAUAAAAAUAACCACUUCUUGAAGGUAACACUCUGGAGAAUGUAAAAAAGAUUUGCUAAUCAUGACAUUCAAUGACUUAUCUUCCAUUAAUUUCUAGCAGAUCAAAUCCAUUCUUGAUUACAUUGUAUUCUUACCAAUUUUCUCCUUCACUAUAUCAAACAUUUAGUUCCAUGUCUCUUUUCCUGUGGCUAAGAAUAUAAUAAAUUUCACCCAUAAGGCUUCCAGUUCUGUAACUAUGCUUAGUACAAUUUUUUUUGUCGUUUUAUAAUAUUUAUUUCAUAAAUAUU